rnacentral:lncRNA from 10 species
UGGGAUCCAGGAUGGAAUGCAGACUGUAAUAAAAAAUCUAAUCACAUCACAAUUAAGAACACAAUCUCCCUGAAGAGAAUGUGAGCUCUACAGUGUCAGGCGUCUUGGAACUGGAUCAUGGCUCUGGAGCUCUACAAUCAGCAUGAGGCAAAGCCAGAUAAGCCUGCGACCUGCUCUUCAGGGUGGUGAGAUCCUCCAGACUCCAGCACCCAGAGAUGCUCUCCUGAGGCCCAGACCACCACUGCCAGCCAUGGAGGAGGAGUGGCGUUGGCGAUUCAGGACUGCUUUUUCUGUCUCUUCAGUGCCUCUCUCAGCAACAUGAAGGUAAAAACCAGGUAAGACGUUCCAGCUUCCCCUUCACCAUCCAUCAUUCUUGUAAGUUUCCCGAGGCCUCCUCAGAAGCAGAAGCCUGUACA